rnacentral:lncRNA from 1 species
GAUAGUCAUCAUACACCCUCGCCCUAUGCAGCAACGCCUGGGCAGGCAACUCAGUCUGAAUUGGAAUCAACGGACUGGUAUUCACCCGAUAUUGAGGUCCUGAUUUGUGAUACUCAUGAUGACACACGCCUUGUGGGUCAAAUCGGUGUAGUUCGAGGUGUAACUCCGGGAAUGUGCUCUGUGUAUCUACCUGAUGAGCAUAGAACAGUUUCCAUCGCUGCAGAUCAUUUGCAACCCGUCAAGCCUGUUAGAGGAGAUAAAGUUAAAGUUAUCAUGGGUGAGGAUCGAGACGCUACUGGGAGUUUACUUUCCAUUGAUAGCCAAGAAGGUGUCGUGAAACUCAAAAAUGAUAUAU